CCAUAGGCCUCUCUAGAGGCCAUAAAGAGGUUCCAUAGGCCUCGAU
rfam:Picoides pubescens contig61204, whole genome shotgun sequence.